UGGGGGAUAUUGCACAAUGGGGGAAACCCUGAUGCAGCGACGCCGCGUGGGUGAAGAAGUAUUUCGGUAUGUAAAGCCCUAUCAGCAGGGAAGAGGAUGACAGUACCUGAGUAAGAAGCCCCGGCUAACUACGUGCCAGCAGCCGCGGUAAUACGUAGGGGGCAAGCGUUAUCCGGAUUUACUGGGUGUAAAGGGAGCGUAGACGGAUGGAUAAGUCUGAAGUGAAAGCCCGCGGCUCAACUGCGGGACUGCUUUGGAAACUGUGCAUCUUGAGUACGGGAGGGGCAGGCGGAAUUCCUGGUGUAGCGGUGAAAUGCGUAGAUAUCAGGAGGAACACCGGCGGCGAAGGCGGCCUGCUGGACCGAAACUGACGUUGAGGCUCGAAAGCGUGGGGAGCAAACAGG
rnacentral:rRNA from 1 species